CGAUAUCUAGGGGGUCUGAGAGGAUGAUCCCCCACACUGGUACUGAGACACGGACCAGACUCCUACGGGAGGCAGCAGUGAGGAAUAUUGGUCAAUGGACGCAAGUCUGAACCAGCCAUGCCGCGUGCAGGAUGAAUGCCCUAUGGGUUGUGAACUGCUUUUAUAUAGGAAGAAACCUUUUUAUUUAUAAAAAGCUGACGGUACUAUAAGAAUAAGCAUCGGCUAACUCCGUGCCAGCAGCCGCGGUAAUACGGAGGAUGCAAGCGUUAUCCGGAUUUAUUGGGUUUAAAGGGUUCGUAGGCGGGGAAAUAAGUCAGUGGUGAAAGCCUGCAGCUCAACUGUAGAACUGCCUUUGAUACUGGUUUUCUUGAAUAUAGUUGAGGUAGGCGGAAUGUGUAGUGUAGCGGUGAAAUGCUUAGAGAUUACACAGAACUCCGAUUGCGAAGGCAGCUUACUAAACUAUUAUUGACGCUGAGGCACGAAAGCGUGGGGAGCGAACAGGAUUAGAUACCCUGGUAGUCCACGCCGUAAACGAUGAUCACUAGUUGUGUGCGAUAUAUAGUACGUGACUGAGCGAAAGCAUUAAGUGAUCCACCUGGGGAGUACGUUGGCAACAAUGAAACUCAAAGGAAUUGACGGGGGCCCGCACAAGCGGAGGAACAUGUGGUUUAAUUCGAUGAUACGCGAGGAACCUUACCUGGGCUUAAAUGUAGAGUGAUUUACUGGGAAACUAGUAUUCCUUCGGGCACUUUACAAGGUGCUGCAUGGUUGUCGUCAGCUCGUGCCGUGAGGUGUCGGGUUAAGUCCCAUAACGAGCGCAACCCUCAUCUUUAGUUGCCAGCGAGUAAUGUCGGGGACUCUAAAGAAACUGCCGGUGUAAACCGAGAGGAAGGUGGGGAUGACGUCAAGUCAGCACGGUCCUUAUGUCCAGGGCGACACACGUGUUACAAUGGCCAGUACAAAGAGCAGCUACAUGGUGACAUGAUGCUAAUCUCCAAAACUGGUCUCAGUUCGGAUUGAAGUCUGCAACUCGACUUCAUGAAGUUGGAUUCGCUAGUAAUCGCGCAUCAGCCAUGGCGCGGUGAAUACGUUCCCGGGCCUUGUACACACCGCCCGUCAAGCCAUGGAAGCUGGGGGUACCUGAAGUCCGUAACCGCAAGGAGCGGCCUAGGGUAAAACUGGUGACUGGGGCUAAGUCGUAACAAGGUAGCCGUACCGGAAGGUGUGGCUGGAACACCUCCUU
rnacentral:rRNA from 1 species